AAACCACCUGAGUUGGGUAUGACUACCUGCUGAACUUAAGCAUAUCAGUAAGCAGAGGAA
rnacentral:rRNA from 1 species